rnacentral:rRNA from 1 species
GCACAAGCGGUGGAGCAUGUGGUUUAAUUCGAUGAUACGCGAGGAACCUUACCUGGGCUCAAAUGUAUGUUGACGUAUUCUGAAAGGGAUACUUCUUCGGACAAUAUACAAGGUGCUGCAUGGUUGUCGUCAGCUCGUGCCGUGAGGUGUCGGGUUAAGUCCCAUAACGAGCGCAACCCCUAUCAUUAGUUGCCAUCAGGUCAAGCUGGGGACUCUAAUGAAACUGCCUACGCAAGUAGUGAGGAAGUGGGGAUGACGUCAAAUCAGCACGGCCCUUACGUCCAGGGCUACACACGUGCUACAAUGGCCGGUACAAAGGGCAGCUACCUGGUGACAGGAUGCUAAUCUCAAAAGCCGGUCUCAGUUCGGAUCGGAGUCUGCAACCCGACUCCGUGAGGCUGGAAUCGCUAGUAAUCGCGCAUCAGCCAUGGCGCGGUGAAUACGUUCCCGGGCCUU